UACGUAGGGUGCAAGCGUUGUCCGGAAUUAUUGGGCGUAAAGAGCUCGUAGGCGGUCUGUCGCGUCUGCUGUGAAAACUCAGGGCUUAACCCUGAGCUUGCAGUGGGUACGGGCAGACUUGAGUACUGCAGGGGAGACUGGAAUUCCUGGUGUAGCGGUGGAAUGCGCAGAUAUCAGGAGGAACACCGGUGGCGAAGGCGGCUCACUGGACCGGAACUGACGCUGAGGCGCGAAAGCGUGGGGAGCAAACAGG
rnacentral:rRNA from 1 species